rnacentral:lncRNA from 1 species
CUGACAGAGUCAGAGUGGGGCCGGCACUGCAUUAGAAUCCUCAAAGCUGUCACAUCAUGUAGGGCUUCAGUUCUAGGCCUUACGCCGCACUGAGAUCAAACACAGGCCUAAAGACUGGCAGAGGGAGCUGGAGGGAAAAUGGCACUGGGCUGGUGCAGCGCCUUGAGGUGGAAAGUCUCCUAGAGCAAAUCGUCGGCCAGAUCCAGAGAAGACAGCGGAAAACACCGUGAAUCCACAGGAGAAGCUGCCCAUGAUGUCAGGUUGGCUAUAUAUUGGAUUAGAGCCCUACAAUGUUUUCUCAUUGAGGUUAUAAAGAGAACAGAUUCUUUGAAGCAGAAGAAAACAUUGGUUCCAAGAGCC